UGGGAGGUCGUUCAACGGUAGGACACGAGAAUUUGGGUCUCGGUAUUCUGGUUCGAAUCCAGACCUCCCAACCA
rnacentral:tRNA from 1 species